GGCUGGGCAGCACCUCCACCUCCAUCCCCCUCGAGACCUACCUGACCAGUCAGUAUACACGAAUCGCCACUUCACCAGCCAUGGACGCUAACUGGGGCGUGGGCGUUGACCUGAACGCCCCGCCGCCCACCGGAGGCGACUGGCGCGCCGAGCUCCAGCCCGAGGCGCGCGGCAGGGUCGUCAACAAGAUAAUGGAGACUUUGAAGAAGCAUCUGCCAGUUUCGGUGCCAGAGGGACUGAACGAGCUUCAAAUCAUCGCUGUGCGAUUCGAAGAGAAGAUGUAUACUGCAGCGACCAACCAGUCUGAUUAUUUGAGGAAGAUCUCUAUAAAAAUGCUAUCUAUGGAGACGAAGACACAACAGACUCCUGGAAAUGCUCAAGUGAUUCCAAAUCAAAACAACCCCGGUCAAGCUCCAGUUUCAUGUCUAAGAAUGCCCGACGGAACCCCCUGGCGGCCCACCCAGGGGUCAGACCCUGCUGCAGUCACCGCUGUCGUCGCCGCCGCCGCUGCCACCGUCGGCGUUGACCCGAACGCCCCGGCCCCCACCAGAGGCGAUUGGCGUGCCCAGCUUCAGCCCGAGGCGCGCAGCAGGGUCGUCAAUAAGAUAAUGGUAUCUCUGCAGAAGCAUCUGCCAGUAUCAGGGCCAGAGGGACCGAACGAACUUGAAAAAAUCGCUGUGCGAUUCGAAGAGAAGAUCUAUAAUGCAGCGACCAGCCAGUCUGAUUAUUUGCGGAAGAUUUCUCUGAAAAUGCUAUCUAUGGAGACGAACACAUAACAGGCUCCUGGAAAUGCUCAGGUGAUUCCAAAUCAAAACAACCCCUGUCAAGAUGCAUAACCCAAUGAUUGUUGUGAUACUGAGUUUGCUAGCAAGUAUGAUGACUAGGUGUCUUCUCAAUUGGCUGUUCGUGUGGGGAUGGCGCCUCUCCAUGUUCGAGUGUGAUGGAUGUUUCCGCUGCCAAACAAGGAAGUUGUGCUUGUAGGCACGAUCGAGGUGCCAUGUAAUAAGUUAGACAUAUAACAUUGUGUACGACUGUUGUUUAAUGUAUGGAAUUUCUGUAUUGACCAUGCUUCCUAGCUUUGAAUGAUCCUGGGGCUAGUAAGACUACUGGAUAUGAAAGCUGAAUGUAAUGGAUUAACAAUUCAAAGCAGAAAGUGAAUGCUUAA